GCGCCCGUAGCUCAACUGGACAGAGUACUUGGUUACGGCCCAAGGGGUUGUGGGUUCGACUCCUGCCGGGCGCGCCA
rnacentral:tRNA from 1 species